GCGGAGGGCUGGAUGGCCGCGGGCGCCCAUAGCUCCGCGCAAGUGGACAGCUGGGUGUCCGAGGAAAGUCCGGACUCCCUGAAGCGACGGUGCCGGGUAACGCCCGGGCGGGGCAACCCGACGGAAAGCGCCACAGAGAAGAGACCGCCCCCGCAGGCCGGGGGCAAGGGUGAAACGGUGGGGUAAGAGCCCACCGCGGGACGGGCAACCGGACCGGCAUGGCAAGCCCCACCGGGAGCAACGCCGAAUAGGGACCGCGCGCCGCGCCCGGAAACGGGCCGGCAGGGGAGCUUCGCCCCGAGCGGUCCGGGUUGGCGGCUAGAGACGGCAGGCAACUGCCGGACCAGAGGAAUGGCCAUCCAGGGGGCGCAAGCCCCCGGACAGAAUCCGGCUUACAGGCCCUCCGCGCAU
rnacentral:RNase_P_RNA from 1 species